rnacentral:rRNA from 1 species
GGGGAAUAUUGGACAAUGGACGAAAGUCUGAUCCAGCGACGCCGCGUGGAGGAAGAAGUCCUUCGGGAUGUAAACUCAUGAAGCUAACGAAUAAGACGGAAGGGGAACCUUCCGGGAGAAGGUAAUUAGUGAAAAGCCCCGGCUAACUACGUGCCAGCAGCCGCGGUAAUACGUAGGGGGCGAGCGUUAUCCGGAUUUAUUGGGUUUAAAGGGUGCGCAGGCGGGCUUUUAAGUCAGCGGUGAAAUCUGGACGCUUAACGUCCAAACUGCCGUUGAAACUGGGAGUCUUGAGUAUGGAUGAAGUAGGCGGAAUUCGUUGUGUAGCGGUGACAUGCAUAGAUAUAACGAGGAACUCCGAUUGCGUAGGCAGCUUACUAAGCCAUAACUGACGCUCAUGCACGAAAGCGUGGGGAUCAAACA